rnacentral:rRNA from 1 species
GACGAACGCUGGCGGCGUGCUUAACACAUGCAAGUCGAACGGAAAGGCCCUGCUUUUGUGGGGUGCUCGAGUGGCGAACGGGUGAGUAACACGUGAGUAACCUGCCCUUGACUUUGGGAUAACUUCAGGAAACUGGGGCUAAUACCGGAUAGGAGCUCCUGCUGCAUGGUGGGGGUUGGAAAGUUUCGGCGGUUGGGGAUGGACUCGCGGCUUAUCAGCUUGUUGGUGGGGUAGUGGCUUACCAAGGCUUUGACGGGUAGCCGGCCUGAGAGGGUGACCGGCCACAUUGGGGCUGAGAUACGGCCCAGACUCCUACGGGAGGCAGCAGUGGGGAAUAUUGCACAAUGGGCAGAAGCCUGAUGCAGCAACGCCGCGUGCGGGAUGACGGCCUUCGGGUUGUAAACCGCUUUCGCCUGUGACGAAGCGUGAGUGACGGUAAUGGGUAAAGAAGCACCGGCUAAGUACGUG